rnacentral:ncRNA from 1 species
CAACAUUUGCUGUCACGGAGUAAAGCUUGCCGUGAGAAGCCAGCCGAGGCCAUAGUAAGCCGGUAGUUGCAAAUGCCGGAUGAAGGGC